UGUCCAAAUCUUUUUCCCAAUCACGCCUCAGUUUUUCACUGGAGACCACUAUGUUAGCUUGCAAAAUGUCAUGGAAAAAAGCAACUGAUCCUUUAGAGCCCGGUGUAUGCUGGAGAAUAUUAUCCAAUGUAUUAUGCGUAGGCAACGAUUCAAAUUGCGACCUUAUAUGGUUCCUUAUCUGAAGGAACCUGAAAAAAUGUGCUGGUGGCAAGCUAUGAGCCCUUUGAAAUUGCUCAAACGACUGAAGGUUGCCCUCGGCAUAUAAAUCCCUAAUUGUGACAAUAUUCCUGAAUUUCCAGAAAGGAGAGACAGGGUCUGUUAAAGCAGGAGGAAAGGCGUGGUUGUGGCAGAUUGGGCUAUCCACAUACAAGCUGUGUCCCAAUUCAGGGUCUGCAUCCUUCGGAGGCACCUCCGAAGGACGCGUCACCCGUUGUUAAAUGGAACAGUCUACCCUACGGAGGAUUUCCUGGUUGCGUCACGACGUCAUGACUCCUGCCGCCCAAGCCCGGGAAAGACACAAAAACAUAACAGACAACUUAAACAGACAACACAGAAACAUAACGGACAGACAACUUAACAGACGACACGGAAACAUAACAGACAGACGACAUAACAGACGACAUGGAAACAUAACAGACGACAAUGAUGGAGCCAGAGGUUGUGAUUUUGUUUUUUUUUAAUAUAUUUUUUGUUGGAGGAAGAGGAGAGGCGGCUCCGGUGACAGCGACACCGGCAGCUCGUUUAUCUCCGGCUGGGAGAGAGCCGUGGGGAGACGAGGCCGAUGUACUGCCGCCUUAAUAUGAAUGUUCCGGUUCUACAAAUAUUUUUCAUGACACCCGACAAGAUUUCAGGCUGAGCAGAGAGUCCCUGGCGGUGCUGCUGGACCUUCUCCACCAGGAAAGACGACACGGAUGGGGUGCCACAAUAGAGACCUUGGUCCUUCUCUUCUGGCUGGCGAGUGGGACAUCAUACAGGGUGGUCUCAAGGGUGUUUGGGAUGCCUCGCUCCACUGUUCACCGCAUCGUUCAUCGAGUUACUGAGGAGGUGGUGGCCAUUCGCCACAGGGUCAUCUACCUCCCAAAGACCGCUGAUGACCUGGCGGCAGUAACUCAGGGGUUUGCAGGGCUGGCAAGACACAGAGCUUUUCUAAAAGCUGCUGGAGCAAUCGACGGCUGCCAUGUCUGGAUCAAGCCACCAAGCGGCCCUGAUGGUCAGUGCUAUAGGAAUCGCAAACUGUUUGCGUCUAUAAUCCUGCAAGCAGUUUGUGACCAUCAGGGCCGCUUCAUCGACACGUACGUGGGCUGGCCGGGGUCGGUGCACGACUCCAGGGUACUCUGCACUGUACAGGCAGGCCAUCUACCCUCCUCCAGGGUACUUCAUCUUGGCAGACGGUGGGUACCCGUGCCUCCAACAUCCACUCCCCCUCAUCACUCCCUACAAGCGGCCGGUACAAGGUGUGGGAGCCCAGCACUUCAACAGCCAUCAUUCCAGGGCACGCUCCAUCAUAGAGCGUGCCUUUGGGAUGAUGAAGACGAGGUUUAGGGCCAUUUUCCUUCAAGCGCUGGAGGUGCACCACACCUUUGUGCCUCAGGUCAUAACAGCAUGUGCCGUCCUGCACAACAUCUGCCUGGGUGCUGGUGACAUCAUGGCCCCAGAGAAUGAAGUGCAGGACGACAUGCCGGAGGAUGAGGGGGAGAACGGGUUGGAGGCAGUCAGUGGUGCUCCAUGGUGGAACCAGCUGUCUGCCGAGGUGUCUGCCCUGGAGGAGGGUGUCCUUGACCAUGAUUACCUU